UCACUCUGGGCCUAUAGAAUCGAAAUCCUUUGGGCUAAAGCUUGAAACUACUCAUUUUAAACAAACUCUCAUGUAAACUCUGAUCCAAACCCAGCUUAAAAUCUUUGCUUUAUGAGGUCAGGUCCAGGGUUGGAUUUUGAUAAGGAAAAUCAUUCAGAUGGCCUCCAAAAAAACCUCUACGACAAAGUUGAGAAUAUUACCAAGAGCUGCCACAUACCUAAAGAAACAAAUAUUAUGAGGUCACACUCAAGAAAUUCCACGUUGCUAAGUUUGUAAGAUGUUCUUCACAACACCUGACACUGAGUGAGAGGGUGACUCGGAAGACGCAUUCUUCACAGAAUGAGCUGCUAGCACCACGUCCCACGCUCUCCUACUUCCUCUGUCUCGAUUCUUUCUUUCUUUAAAAUUAGAUGUUGACUUGCAAUGGGUUUAGAAGCCAUUUACUUGAAUCCCUUCAUUUUCACAUUAGAAUUUUGAUAUUUUAAGCUUAAUUAUAUCAUUGUAGAAAACAUGGAAAGUACAGACAAAGGUGUGUAGGUCAUGUUAAAACCAUUCUGGGGAAGACAGCUAU
rnacentral:lncRNA from 1 species